rnacentral:rRNA from 1 species
CAUCUUUUCUUGUUAGUUUUUGAAGUAUGGCCUGCCCACUGACUUAGAGUUGAAGGGCCGCGGUAUUUUGACCGUGCAAAGGUAGCAUAAUCAUUAGUUCUUUAAUUGUGAUCUGGUAUGAAUGGCUUGACGAGACAUAAGCUGUCUUAGGGGUAUUGAUUUAUUGAAUUUGGUUUUUGAGUUAAAAUUCUUAAAUGUUUUUAUGGGACGAGAAGACCCUAUAGAGUUUGACAAUUUUCCUAUUUAUUCGUUGUUUGUUUUAUUUACAUUGAGUGGGAGUAAAUUGUUUUGUUGGGGUGAUGGGAGGAAUAUUGUUUAACUCCUCUUUAUUUUUAUAUAUUUAUGUAUAUAUUUUUGAUCCAUUUAUUUUGAUUAUAAGAUUAAAUUACCUUA